rnacentral:rRNA from 1 species
UACAGAGGGUGCGAGCGUUAAUCGGAAUCACUGGGCGUAAAGCGCACGUAGGCGGCUUUUUAAGUCAGGGGUGAAAUCCUGGAGCUCAACUCCAGAACUGCCUUUGAUACUGAGAAGCUUGAGUCCGGGAGAGGUGAGUGGAACUGCGAGUGUAGAGGUGAAAUUCGUAGAUAUUCGCAAGAACACCAGUGGCGAAGGCGGCUCACUGGCCCGGUACUGACGCUGAGGUGCGAAAGCGUGGGGAGCAAACAGGG